UACGUAGGGUGCAAGCGUUUGUCCGGAAUUAUUGGGCGUAAAGAGCUCGUAGGCGGUUUGUCGCGUCUGCUGUGAAAACUCGGGGCUUAACCCCGGGCCUGCAGUGGGUACGGGCAGACUAGAGUGCGGUAGGGGAGACUGGAAUUCCUGGUGUAGCGGUGAAAUGCGCAGAUAUCAGGAGGAACACCGGUGGCGAAGGCGGGUCUCUGGGCCAUAACUGACGCUGAGGAGCGAAAGCGUGGGGGAGCGAACAGG
rnacentral:rRNA from 1 species